rnacentral:rRNA from 1 species
UACAGAGAGUGCAAACGUUGUUCGGAAUUACUGGGCUUGAAGCGCACGUAGGCGGCGUUGUAAGUGUCGGGUGAAAUCCCACGGCUCACCCGUGGAACUGCCCGGCAUACUGCGAUGCUAGAGUGUGGUAGGGGAGAGCGGAACUCCUGGUGGAGCGGUGAAAUGCGUAGAUAUCAGGAGGAACACCCGUGGCGAAGGCGGUUCUCUGGGACGGUACUGACGCUGAGACGCGAAAGCGUGGGGAGCGAACAGG